rnacentral:rRNA from 1 species
CCUACGGGAGGCAGCAGUGAGGAAUAUUGGACAAUGGGCGCAAGCCUGAUCCAGCCAUGCCGCGUGCAGGAAGAAGCAUCUAUGGUGUGUAAACUGCUUUUGUACGGGAAGAAACACUCCGACGUGUCGGAGCUUGACGGUACCGUAAGAAUAAGGAUCGGCUAACUCCGUGCCAGCAGCCGCGGUAAUACGGAGGAUCCAAGCGUUAUCCGGAAUCAUUGGGUUUAAAGGGUCCGUAGGCGGUUUAAUAAGUCAGUGGUGAAAGCCCAUCGCUUAACGAUGGAACGGCCAUUGAUACUGUUAGACUUGAAUUAUUGGGAAGUAACUAGAAUAUGUAGUGUAGCGGUGAAAUGCUUAGAUAUUACAUGGAAUACCAAUUGCGAAGGCAGGUUACUAUCAAUAUAUUGACGCUGAUGGACGAAAGCGUGGGGAGCGAACAGGAUUAGAUACCCUGGUAGUCCACGCCGUAAACGAUGGAUACUAGCUGUUCGGAGCAAUCUGNGUGNGUAGAGAAGUAGAGUAGUAGUCCACCGUCGGGAGGUAACGGUUCGUCGAAGAAGUAGUUAAACGUUAAAGUUAAGUUAAGUUAGUUACGGCGUUGAGACGUUGCCGACGGACGACGACGAGGGAGGAGGAG